rnacentral:rRNA from 1 species
AUUGAACGCUGGCGGCAUGCUUUACACAUGCAAGUCGAACGGUAACAGGCCGCAAGGUGCUGACGAGUGGCGAACGGGUGAGUAAUGCAUCGGAACGUGCCCAGUCGUGGGGGAUAACGCAGCGAAAGCUGUGCUAAUACCGCAUACGAUCUAUGGAUGAAAGCGGGGAACCGUAAGGCCUCGCGCGAUUGGAGCGGCCGAUGUCAGAUUAGGUAGUUGGUGGGGUAAAGGCCUACCAAGCCGACGAUCUGUAGCUGGUCUGAGAGGACGACCAGCCACACUGGGACUGAGACACGGCCCAGACUCCUACGGGAGGCAGCAGUGGGGAAUUUUGGACAAUGGGGGCAACCCUGAUCCAGCCAUUCCGCGUGAGUGAAGAAGGCCUUCGGGUUGUAAAGCUCUUUCGGCAGGAACGAAACGGCGAGCUCUAACAUAGCUUGCUAAUGACGGUACCUGAAGAAGAAGCACCGGCUAACUACGUGCCAGCCGCCGCAGUAAAAC